AUUGAACGCUGGCGGAAUGCUUUACACAUGCAAAGUCGAGCGGCAGCGCGGGGCAAACCUGGCGGCGAGCGGCGAACGGGUGAGUAAUGCAUCGGAACAUGUCCAUGUCGUGGGGGAUAGCCCGGCGAAAGCCGGAUUAAUACCGCAUACGCCCGAGAGGGGAAAGCCGGGGACCGCAAGGCCUGGCGCGAUUGGGUUGGCCGAUGUCCGAUUAGCUAGUUGGCGGGGUAAGAGCCCACCAAGGCGAUGAUCGGUAGCUGGUCUGAGAGGAUGAUCAGCCACACUGGGACUGAGACACGGCCCAGACUCCUACGGGAGGCAGCAGUGGGGAAUUUUGGACAAUGGGGGCAACCCUGAUCCAGCCAUUCCGCGUGAGUGAAGAAGGCCUUCGGGUUGUAAAGCUCUUUUGUCCGGAACGAAACGGUGCUCGUGAAUAUCGAGCGCUACUGACGGUACCGGAAGAAUAAGCACCGGGCUAACUACGUGCCCAGCAGCCGCGGUAA
rnacentral:rRNA from 1 species